CAUCUACUCCCUCCGUUCCAAAUUACUUGUCGCAAGUAUGGAUGUAUCUAGAUGUAUUUUAGUUCUAGAUACAUCCAUUUCUGCGACAAGUAAUUUGGGACGGAGGAAGUACCAU
rnacentral:pre_miRNA from 1 species